UAGCUCACUAGUCGAGUGACGCCGCGCCGAAAAUUUACCGGGGCUAAGCAUGAUACCGAAACUGUGGAUGUGCAUUUAUGCACGUGGUAGGAGAGCGUUCUAGCGGCGGUGAAGCAUGACCGAGAGGACAUGUGGAGCUUCUAGAAGUGAGAAUGCCGGUAUGAGUAACGAAAGACAGGUGAGAAUCCUGUCCGCCGCAAGACUAAGGUUUCCUGGGGCAGGCUCGUCCGCCCAGGGUAAGUCGGGACCUAAGGCGAGGCCGAGAGGCGUAGUCGAUGGACAACAGGUUGAAAUUCCUGUACUGCACCGAAUCGUUAUGAGCGAUGGAGGGACGCAGGAGGCUAGCAGCGCGUGGUGCUGGAUACCACGUUCAAGCGUCAAGUCUGAGAG
rnacentral:rRNA from 1 species